GGCCUAAUCUAGUUCGAUUAUACACUCGCCUCUUCCUGGGCCGUAUUCAACUCGUCAUGGGCGAUUCGGGUGUAGAAAUCAAUGGCCCAGGAGGCGCGGGACAAAACGGCUCGUUCGUUCUGCGGUGUUUGUUCCCCUCCUUCCCAGUUGCCCAAUGCCGCCACGAGUGAUUCAGGCGGAGAGCGGCAAAGUGGACGCCGGGAGACAGGUCGGUCCCGCCCCCCGCGGAGGCGCGGCACGAGGCGGAGGGAUGCGGGGCCAGCGGAGAGCCGGAGACCAUGCUCCUCCUCCUCGCUUGCCGCGGAGGCGCUGCCGGACGUACUCGCCGAGGUAACACGCUCUUCAUAUCCUCAGUUGUUUCGAGAAAUUUUGAUUGAGAGCACGCAUAUGCUACUGUGCCUAGCAUGAAGCCUGAUGAUUCCUCAUCCUUGUGGUGACUAUGGCGAUGUGCUGAUAUUUUAUAUCCGGUCCGCGAUUUGAGACAUUGGGGGUGGUUAUCAUGCAUAGGCAUGAGGGCAUCGCGAGUAUAUUACUAACACCCUUUUUUCGGUUGAGAACCACUAGACUAGAGUGGUUGGAUUCCCACCAACAGUGGUUUAUGUAGGUUUCCUGUAUGGAUUCUCCAUUAUUACAUUUGAACACGCAACACGGGAACGGUGAUAUAAAUGAUGGCUAAAUAAAUAUACUAUUGGCCUAUUGAUUUAAUUUCCCCCCCAAAUUAAACUGAAUAUAUAUUGCAAAUGGUUUAGUUUUAGCAUAUGCUAAAAUGCAUAGCACGCCGGUGCUGCUAGUUACACUUUUCUGCUUAUUUCUUCUACUAACAUGGGAUCCCUGAUGAUAGAAUGUAACAGUACAAUUCAACUAGACAUUUUGGCAAAUAGCUCUCUGUUUUUUUUUCUCGAACACGCCGAGCGGCGUGUCUUUUCCAUUAAGAAGAAGGCACAGGAAGCGCAAGUACAGGCAACAACAAAAACCCCAGCAGGGGCCAAAAGGAAAACAAAGAAAACAGAAAAAGAAGAAAUGGAGAAGAAGAAGAAAAACGCCUUAGGCAACUAACAAGGAGAGGUUAAGGUGCUUUGCUGAGGCUAUUGAUGUUUUGAUUAGCGCUGCUGAGCCAGUUGCGUUAUCCUCACCUUGUGGAGGAUCUGGAGACUGCGUAACGACUGCAUGCGUCUUCAAAGAUCCCGUUCCAAACUGCCCCUCACUUGUGGAUUUGAUCUUUUGCGAAGCCAAACUCUGGAUGGUUGUUGGAGCUAAUGCUCCUAGCUGCAAGCAGUGGACCGUGGCCGGGGAUGCUGUAUAGUUUUUCGGUCACUGUUCUUGUUUUUCUUGGACUUUUAGGAUAGCUUUUUCCUGUUCCCUUUUUGUUUUCGGUUGUACAGUUCGCGUCUUAUUUCUUCUAAUACAAACUAACACACAUUUAAAUGCAUGUUCAAGAUUCCUUUUUGUUUUGAAAAA